AUUGAACGCUGGCGGCAGGCCUAACACAUGCAAGUCGAACGGUAACAGGAAACAGCUUGCUGUUUCGCUGACGAGUGGCGGACGGGUGAGUAAUGUCUGGGAAACUGCCUGAUGGAGGGGGAUAACUACUGGAAACGGUAGCUAAUACCGCAUAACGUCGCAAGACCAAAGAGGGGGACCUUCGGGCCUCUUGCCAUCGGAUGUGCCCAGAUGGGAUUAGCUAGUAGGUGGGGUAACGGCUCACCUAGGCGACGAUCCCUAGCUGGUCUGAGAGGAUGACCAGCCACACUGGAACUGAGACACGGUCCAGACUCCUACGGGAGGCAGCAGUGGGGAAUAUUGCACAAUGGGCGCAAGCCUGAUGCAGCCAUGACGCGUGUAUGAAGAAGGCCUUCGGGUUGUAAAGUACUUUCAGCGGGGAGGAAGGGAGUAAAGUUAAUACCUUUACUCAUUGACGUUACCCGCAGAAGAAGCACCGGCUAACUCCGUG
rnacentral:rRNA from 1 species